ensembl:lncRNA
CUGGGACCAGUUCACCUUCUUUGCCCUAGGAGCGUGGGAUGGCAGUGGAGGAGCUUCCUUCCAGAUGCUGGGACUGGCUCACCUUCUCUGCCCUAGGAGCGUGGUGUGGCAGUGGAGGACCCUCCUUCUGGAUGCUGGGACUGGCUCACCUUCUCUCUUAAUGAUUUCCAGAUGGUGUAAGUUUGGAAGGAUUUUCAGUUAUUAUAGCACAACUCCUUGGCCUCAACAUUGGAUUAACAUAUGAUGACAUAAAUAAUUGUUCAUGUCCAAGAGCUACAUGCGUAAUGAAUCAUGAAUCAGUGAGUUCCAGUGGUAUCAAGAUUUUUAGUAACUGUAGCAUGCAUGAAUAUAGGCAUUUUGUUUCAAAAAUUGAGGCAGAUUGACUUCACAACCUUUCAAAUUUUCAACUUCUGUAUCAAACUCAACCAUUGGCUGGCAGUGGGAUUUUGGAAUCUAAUGAAGAAUAUGACUGUGGUUACAAAGAGGUAAGCGAAGAAUGUUGAAAUACGAGCACAAUUUUUACAACUCUAAUAAAACAUGCUUGUCAAUGGAAUUAUAUAUGUAACUUUGUCUUACAUUUAUAACUGAGACAUAAGAAUGAGCAUAAGUUAAAGGAAUCACUUCCCCAUACCUCUUGAACUGAGAAGAUCAAUGUAGCCUGAAGUCCUGGUUUGCAUAGCUACUUCAAAUCACCCUUGGAAAUACAUUUUGAAUAUAUCAGGUAAAUUAAAUCCUUUUCAGCCAUGAUUCAGUUUCUAACUUAUAUGAUCUUAUUCUGUAUUUUUUUCUACACAAACUUCUGCAAAUGUUUUUCCAAAACUUUCCCUGUCCCUUGUGGUUGCAACAAUUUCUAGACAUCCUAAUAGGUUUUCUUUAGUCAUUCUCAAACAUUGCUGCAAUUAUAAAGUCUUGGAUGGUGAAGAAGCUUUUUCAGUUUGCUCAUUUCUAAAUAUAGAUAUUCAAACAAAUUUUCAAUACUCUCCUCUCAACCAGAAAGCCCAUGUAUUUAGUCUCUUGUAAAUAUUGUUGGUGUGUAUUUAAUGACUCCCUUCUAUUUAAGUAAAAUAAAGAAUCUUCAUGAUUCCCCCUAGCAGUACAUAAAUUAUUUCCUUUGACAAAAACAGAUGAGUACCACAUAGUUAUGUACCACUAAAUGCUUACAAGUUCUCUCAGGCAUCUGCCACUGCACACAGUAAAAUCUGAUAUGAAUGAAUGUCCUGGUGCACAUGUGUGCAUGUGUGUAUAUGUAGAAUCCAUAUAUGUAUGGUUUCCAGCUAGCAUGAACUUCUCAAAGCUGUCUUAUUUUGCUGAUAUGCAUUGCUAUGCUCAUCUUGGAUUCUCCUGCCCCUAGAUAUGUUGCCAUCUCUUUGUCGAUAAAUCCUGCUUUUAAAAUGAAAGACAGAAUAAAACAACACAGUCUGAAUAGAUCUGCACCCUGUGAGUUUCUACAACCAGAGGCUGUACCCAGACUGUCACAUAGAAGAUCCCUCCAGUGCCUCAUCAGUAUCUUCUUCACAGUAACUGUUGCCACAGUGUAUUUUUAAUCUUUAUUUUUUUAUUGGAAUGUCAAUUUAAAAAUUGCUGUGAUUUUAGAACAUGUAAGCUGAAAGGCUCAGCAGAAUGUGGUUCAGGACCAUGUUGCAGAUCAAACUGUGAGAUAUGUGAUAAUUUUGGUAAUUGCCAAUGCUUUCCAGACCACAGGCCCCCAGACUGUGAAUUCCGUCUUAGUUCACCAGGGGGCAGUAUUGACGAUGGAAAUGUUCAGAAAUCAGACUUACGACCUGGGAAGACUUUUGUCAGGCUGUUUGCACAACUGAGGAAGACACUGAGAAGACAUGCAGUCCACAGUGCAGUAUCUGCUAGAGCUGAGGAAGACACUGAGCAGAUAUUGGUGGCUAUGGUGCAUUAUUGGCCUACAAACAAAUCUAUAAUGGAAGAGAAGAAGAGAAAGUAAGCAAAUCACUAUGUUUGUAUUUCUUUUUUAUAAAUUUUAUUUUAUUGUAUCCCAUUCUCUCCCUGAAGUCCUCUCCCCUCCCUAUAUACAAAAACUUUGCUUUGUUUCCAUUUUUUUUCCUUCUAUUUUCACUUUUUUUUCUUGCUGCUUCCUUCCUCUGUUCGGAUUACUGAAUGGAGUGAUACUUGCUCAAUAAGCACCUCGAGUAAGUCUGUGGAGAAAUGCCCAGCUCUAGGCAGAUUAGAGUAUCUCUGACUGAAUGGAGACUCUUGUUAGUGCUCCAGUGAUGUCACCAAGGAGUCUAUGAAUAGCAUCUGGAAGACAGCACUCAAGAGGUUCGUUCGCGGCUUUGAAGGGUUUGACAAGGAUAAGGAGUUUACAAAACUCAACAAGGGUGUGGUUGGGCUGGCAGUCUCAUUCACCCUGGUGUGGAUGGGGCUGGCAUGGAGGAGCGCAUAGGACUCCUGAG